rnacentral:rRNA from 1 species
GACGAACCGUGCGAACGUUAUUCGGAAUCACUGGGCUUAAAGCGCGUGUAGGCGGGCCGGCACGUCGGUACCUGAAAGCCCCCGGCUCAACCGGGGAGCUGGGGCCGAUACGACCGGCCUGGAGGGGCGUAGGGGGACCUGGAACUUCCGGUGGAGCGGUGAAAUGCGUUGAGAUCGGAAGGAACGCCCGUGGCGAAAGCGAGGUCCUGGACUGGUACUGACGCUCAGGAGCGAAAGCGUGGGGAGCGAUCCGG